rnacentral:rRNA from 1 species
CCUACGGGAGGCAGCAGUGGGGAAUAUUGCACAAUGGGCGGAAGCCUGAUGCAGCGACGCCGCGUGAGGGAUGACGGCCUUCGGGUUGUAAACCUCUUUCAGUAGGGAAGAAGCGAGAGUGACGGUACCUGCAGAAGAAGCGCCGGCUAACUACGUGCCAGCAGCCGCGGUAAUACGUAGGGCGCAAGCGUUGUCCGGAAUUAUUGGGCGUAAAGAGCUCGUAGGCGGUUUGUCGCGUCUGCUGUGAAAGCCCGGGGCUCAACCCCGGGUCUGCAGUGGGUACGGGCAGACUAGAGUGCAGUAGGGGAGACUGGAAUUCCUGGUGUAGCGGUGAAAUGCGCAGAUAUCAGGAGGAACACCGAUGGCGAAGGCAGGUCUCUGGGCUGUUACUGACGCUGAGGAGCGAAAGCAUGGGGAGCGAACAGGAUUAGAUACCCUGGUAGUCCAUGCCGUAAACGUUGGGCACUAGGUGUGGGGGACAUUCCACGUUUUCCGCGCCGUAGCUAACGCAUUAAGUGCCCCGCCUGGGGAGUACGGCCGCAAGGCUAAAACUCAAAUGAAUUGACGGGG